rnacentral:rRNA from 1 species
UGGGGAAUCUUCCGCAAUGGACGAAAGUCUGACGGAGCAACGCCGCGUGAGUGAAGAAGGUUUUCGGAUCGUAAAACUCUGUCUUUUGGGGCGAACGUGAGUAUGGUGAACAAUCAUAGUCAGUGACGGUACCAAAGGAGGAAGCCACGGCUAACUACGUGCCAGCAGCCGCGGUAAUACGUAGGUGGCAAGCGUUGUCCGGAAUUAUUGGGCGUAAAGAGCGCGUAGGCGGGAUAGUCAGUCUGUUGUAAAAGUGCGGGGCUCAACCCCGUGAUCGCAAUGGAAACAGCUAUUCUUGAGUGCAGGAGAGGAAAGUGGAAUUCCCAGUGUAGCGGUGAAAUGCGUAGAUAUUGGGAGGAACACCAGUGGCGAAGGCGACUUUCUGGACUGUGUCUGACGCUGAGGCGCGAAAGCCAGGGGAGCGAACGGGAUUAGAUACCCCGGUAGUCCUGGCCGUAAACGAUGGGUACUAGGUGUGGGAGGUAUCGACCCCUUCCGUGCCGGAGUUAACGCAAUAAGUACCCCGCCUGGGGAGUACGGUCGCAAGACUGAAACUC